ACCAAGUCUACAUGUUUACACCAUUGAAUUAACCCACGGAGAGUUUACAUGGCAAGUGAAAAGGAAAUUCAAGCACUUUCAAGAAUUCCACAGGGAACUGCUUAGAUAUAAAGCUUUUAUACGGAUUCCCAUCCCUACAAGAAGGCACACAGUCCGAAGGCAGACUGUCAAAAGGGGAGAAGCACGGCAAAUGCCAAGCUUACCCCGCACCUCUGACAACAUGGUUAGAGAAGAACAUCUCUCCAGCAGAAGGAAACAACUGGAAGACUACUUAACAAAUCUCUUAAAAAUGCCCCUUUAUAGGAACUACCAUGGAACG